GCUGUAAAAAUCAGCCUGGGGCCCAGCUAGUGACUUCUGCUGGGCAAAUGAACACCUGGCCUGAUGCCACAAGCUCUACUGCCUGUGUGCUCAGGUGAGAAGGCAGAGGUCAUGAAUCCAGCCACAGAAUGCCCUAGGGAGGAGGACUGAAUUCCCAGGGGGAGACCUGCUAAGCCUUUCAAAUGGGCUGUGCCUGACUGGACUCUCAGCCUAGCUCUCUGGAACCCUCAACCACUUGUCAACUGUGCCAAGACAAACCCUCCUAGACACAAAUCGAGUAUCUAGCUUGGCUUUCUGCACUGAGCAGCUGACUACCAGAGACAUCUGAGGCCUCCAUCCAUCGAUUGUCGUGAAGACUUUGUUGGGGAAAAUAAACCCACCCUUCCUGAUUAAACAUUUUCUCCUUGGCCUUGUUGUAGGGAGAGGACCUGUAGGUACUUCCAGAAACUAGAAUCAUAGGAUCUUCCAAACUUCCUGUCUCUAAGUACAGGAGCUGGAAUCUUUCCACCAAGUACUUAUAGAUUCAAUCUUUUGCUUAGUCCAUUUAGCUUAGGGUGGAAAUUUCUCAAGGCAAUUACUGUUUUGCAGCCCUUUGCAUAACUUGCAUAGGUCCUUGUAGUUUAGUGAAUGACACUGAAUAAAACAUUCUGACAAAAUUUUU
rnacentral:lncRNA from 1 species